GGAAAGUGAAUCUUCCUGUGUUCUUAUCCUCAUUAGAAAAUCAGACUGCUAUUCUUUUAUAGAAAAUACAGGGCACAAUCAAGAUUACUCAAAGGAUUCUUCCCUUGGAGGAAGCUUAGCUUCAUUCUUCAAUCUUGACAUGGACGGACUUCCUAAAUUCUGCUUACAAACAGACCCCUGA
rnacentral:lncRNA from 1 species